rnacentral:rRNA from 1 species
GGGUUGUGAGGUUAAGCGACUAAGCGUACACGGUGGAUGCCCUGGCAGUCAGAGGCGAUGAAGGGCGUGCUAAUCUGCGAUAAGCGCCGGUAAGGUGAUAUGAACCGUUAUAACCGGCGAUACCCGAAUGGGGAAACCCAGUGUGACUCGUCACACUAUCAUUAACUGAAUCCAUAGGUUAAUGAGGCGAACCGGGGGAACUGAAACAUCUAAGUACCCCGAGGAAAAGAAAUCAACCGAGAUUCCCCCAGUAGCGGCGAGCGAACGGGGAGGAGCCCAGAGCCUGAAUCAGCAUGUGUGUUAGUGGAAGCGUCUGGAAAGGCGCGCGAUACAGGGUGACAGCCCCGUACACAAAAGCGCAUGUGCUGUGAGCUCGAUGAGUAGGGCGGGACACGUGGUAUCCUGUCUGAAUAUGGGGGGACCAUCCUCCAAGGCUAAAUACUCCUGACUGACCGAUAGUGAACCAGUACCGUGAGGGAAAGGCGAAAAGAACCCCGGCGAGGGGAGUGAAAAAGAACCUGAAACCGUGUACGUACAAGCAGUGGGAGCACCCUUUGGGUGUGACUGCGUACCUUUUGUAUAAUGGGUCAGCGACUUAUAUUCUGUAGCAAGGUUAACCGAAUAGGGGAGCCGGAGGGAAACCGAGUCUUAACCGGGCGUUAAGUUGCAGGGUAUAGACCCGAAACCCGGUGAUCUAGCCAUGGGCAGGUUGAAGGUUGGGUAACACUAACUGGAGGACCGAACCGACUAAUGUUGAAAAAUUAGCGGAUGACCUGUGGCUGGGGGUGAAAGGCCAAUCAAACCGGGAGAUAGCUGGUUCUCCCCGAAAGCUAUUUAGGUAGCGCCUCGUGAAUUCAUCUCCGGGGGUAGAGCACUGUUUCGGCUAGGGGGCCAUCCCGGCUUACCAACCCGAUGCAAACUGCGAAUACCGGAGAAUGUUAUCACGGGAGACACACGGCGGGUGCUAACGUCCGUCGUGAAGAGGGAAACAACCCAGACCGCCAGCUAAGGUCCCAAAGUCAUGGUUAAGUGGGAAACGAUGUGGGAAGGCCCAGACAGCCAGGAUGUUGGCUUAGAAGCAGCCAUCAUUUAAAGAAAGCGUAAUAGCUCACUGGUCGAGUCGGCCUGCGCGGAAGAUGUAACGGGGCUAAACCAUGCACCGAAGCUGCGGCAGCGACACUGUGUGUUGUUGGGUAGGGGAGCGUUCUGUAAGCCUGUGAAGGUGUGUCGUGAGGCAUGCUGGAGGUAUCAGAAGUGCGAAUGCUGACAUAAGUAACGAUAAAGCGGGUGAAAAGCCCGCUCGCCGGAAGACCAAGGGUUCCUGUCCAACGUUAAUCGGGGCAGGGUGAGUCGACCCCUAAGGCGAGGCCGAAAGGCGUAGUCGAUGGGAAACGGGUUAAUAUUCCCGUACUUGGUGUUACUGCGAAGGGGGGACGGAGAAGGCUAUGUUGGCCGGGCGACGGUUGUCCCGGUUUAAGCGUGUAGGUGUGUGUUCCAGGUAAAUCCGGUUCACUUUAACACUGAGGCGUGACGACGAGGCACUACGGUGCUGAAGCAACAAAUGCCCUGCUUCCAGGAAAAGCCUCUAAGCAUCAGGUAACAUCAAAUCGUACCCCAAACCGACACAGGUGGUCAGGUAGAGAAUACCAAGGCGCUUGAGAGAACUCGGGUGAAGGAACUAGGCAAAAUGGUGCCGUAACUUCGGGAGAAGGCACGCUGACACGUAGGUGAAGUGAUUUACUCAUGGAGCUGAAGUCAGUCGAAGAUACCAGCUGGCUGCAACUGUUUAUUAAAAACACAGCACUGUGCAAACACGAAAGUGGACGUAUACGGUGUGACGCCUGCCCGGUGCCGGAAGGUUAAUUGAUGGGGUCAGCGCAAGCGAAGCUCCUGAUCGAAGCCCCGGUAAACGGCGGCCGUAACUAUAACGGUCCUAAGGUAGCGAAAUUCCUUGUCGGGUAAGUUCCGACCUGCACGAAUGGCGUAAUGAUGGCCAGGCUGUCUCCACCCGAGACUCAGUGAAAUUGAACUCGCUGUGAAGAUGCAGUGUACCCGCGGCAAGACGGAAAGACCCCGUGAACCUUUACUAUAGCUUGACACUGAACAUUGAGCCUUGAUGUGUAGGAUAGGUGGGAGGCUUUGAAGUGUGGACGCCAGUCUGCAUGGAGCCGACCUUGAAAUACCACCCUUUAAUGUUUGAUGUUCUAACGUGGACCCGUUACCCGGGUUGCGGACAGUGUCUGGUGGGUAGUUUGACUGGGGCGGUCUCCUCCUAAAGAGUAACGGAGGAGCACGAAGGUUGGCUAAUCCUGGUCGGACAUCAGGAGGUUAGUGCAAUGGCAUAAGCCAGCUUGACUGCGAGCGUGACGGCGCGAGCAGGUGCGAAAGCAGGUCAUAGUGAUCCGGUGGUUCUGAAUGGAAGGGCCAUCGCUCAACGGAUAAAAGGUACUCCGGGGAUAACAGGCUGAUACCGCCCAAGAGUUCAUAUCGACGGCGGUGUUUGGCACCUCGAUGUCGGCUCAUCACAUCCUGGGGCUGAAGUAGGUCCCAAGGGUAUGGCUGUUCGCCAUUUAAAGUGGUACGCGAGCUGGGUUUAGAACGUCGUGAGACAGUUCGGUCCCUAUCUGCCGUGGGCGCUGGAGAACUGAGGGGGGCUGCUCCUAGUACGAGAGGACCGGAGUGGACGCAUCACUGGUGUUCGGGUUGUCAUGCCAAUGGCACUGCCCGGUAGCUAAAUGCGGAAGAGAUAAGUGCUGAAAGCAUCUAAGCACGAAACUUGCCCCGAGAUGAG